AUGCACGCCAAAGGGUUCCCACCUCUCUGGUGCUCCUGGAUUGAAAACUUGAACCGUACAGCCAGCUCUUCUGUGCUUUUAAAUGGGAAACCUGGACCCUGGUUUCAAUGCCGCCGAGGUUUUAGACAGGGGGACUCCCUUUCCCCUUAUCUCUUUAUCAUUGUCGCAGAUGUCCUUAAGAGACUUAUCAUCCAGGCUGCUGCCAACGGGAAACUCUCUCACCCUCUCGACGCUUCUCUUCCUUGCACGGUCCUUCAAUAUGCCGACGACACUCUUAUCGUCCUCCCGCCAGACGCGGCUCAGCUUCACACUCUCAAACAUAUCCUGACCCAGUUCUCUGAGGCCACGGGGCUCACCAUUAAUUUUCAAAAAAGCACCUUCGCCCCCAUUCACGUAGACCACGACCUUUCCACGGAACUCGCGGCAAUUUUUGGCUGUCCGGUAGCCUCCUUCCCCCAAUCUUACUUGGGAUUGCCACUCUCGACCCAUAAACUAAACCUUGCAAACUUCUUCUUCAUCAUCGACAAGGUUGACCGGUGUUUGGCUGGGUGGAGAGGCCUCUUGUUGUCUCUUGCUGGCAGGGCUGUUCUUGUCCGGGCGGGUCCUUCACGCUCUCCCGAUCUAUGCUAUGAGCGUUCUUCGACUUCCAGUGGGCAUCCUGCAAGAGAUAGACAAACGGUGUCGUGCUUUCUUCUGGGUCGGGCAAGAUUCUGUUACGGGUGGCCAAUGCAAAGUUGCUUGGGACCUGGUCCGCGCCCCCUUCUCUCAUGGAGGGCUGGGCUUCACGAACCUAGACCAUAUGAACCAAUGUCUCCUCCUCCACCACUUAUCAAAAAUUCAUACCUCCGAGUCAACCCAGGACUCUCCUUACCUUCGCUCCAAAUAUGGCUGGUCUCCCUCGAAUGA
rnacentral:rRNA from 1 species